rnacentral:rRNA from 1 species
GUAGGUGGCGAGCGUUGUCCGGAAUAACUGGGCGUAAAGGGAGCGUAGGUUGCGAUUUAAGUUAGAUGUGAAAGCCCAGGGCUCAACCCUGGAACUGCAUUUAAAACUGGAUUGCUAGAGUACAGGAGGGGUAAGCGGAAUUUCUAGUGUAGCGGUGAAAUGCGUAGAUAUUAGGAAGAACACCAGAGGCGAAGGCGGCUUACUGGACUGCAACUGACACUGAGGCUCGAAAGCGUGGGUAGCAAA